rnacentral:rRNA from 1 species
AAACCAACUGGGAUUACCUUAGUAACGGCGAGUGAAGCGGUAAAAGCUCAAAUUUGAAAUCUGGUACUUUCAGUGCCCGAGUUGUAAUUUGUAGAAUUUGUCUUUGAUUAGGUCCUUGUCUAUGUUCCUUGGAACAGGACGUCAUAGAGGGUGAGAAUCCCGUUUGGCGAGGAUACCUUUUCUCUGUAAGACUUUUUCGAAGAGUCGAGUUGUUUGGGAAUGCAGCUCAAAGUGGGUGGUAAAUUCCAUCUAAAGCUAAAUAUUGGCGAGAGACCGAUAGCGAACAAGUACAGUGAUGGAAAGAUGAAAAGAACUUUGAAAAGAGAGUGAAAAAGUACGUGAAAUUGUUGAAAGGGAAGGGCAUUUGAUCAGACAUGGUGUUUUUUGCAUGCACUCGCCUCUCGUGGGCUUGGGCCUCUCAAAAAUUUCACUGGGCCAACAUCAAUUCUGGCAGCAGGAUAAAUCAUUAAGAAUGUAGCUACUUCGGUAGUGUUAUAGCUUUUUGGAAUACUGUUAGCCGGGAUU